CCUACGGGCGGCAGCAGUGGGGGAUAUUGCACAAUGGGGGGAACCCUGAUGCAGCGAUGCCGCGUGGGUGAAGAAGCGCCUCGGCGCGUAAAGCCCUGUCAGCAGGGAAGAAAAUGACGGUACCUGAAGAAGAAGCCCCGGCUAACUACGUGCCAGCAGCCGCGGUAAUACGUAGGGGGCAAGCGUUAUCCGGAUUUACUGGGUGGAAAGGGGGCGCAGACGGCGAUGCAAGCCAGGAGUGAAAGCCCGGGGCCCAACCCCGGGACUGCGCUUGGAACUGCGUGGCUGGAGUGCAGGAGGGGCAGGCGGAAGUCCUGGUGUAGCGGUGAAAUGCGUAGAUAUCAGGAGGAACACCGGUGGCGAAGGCGGCCUGCUGGACUGCAACUGACGUUGAGGCCCGAAAGCGUGGGGAGCAAACAGGAUUAGAUACCCUUGUAGUC
rnacentral:rRNA from 1 species